rnacentral:rRNA from 1 species
GAUGAACGCUGGCGGCGUGCCUAAUACAUGCAAGUCGAGCGAACGGACGAGAAGCUUGCUUUUCUGAUGUUAGCGGCGGACGGGUGAGUAACACGUGGAUAACCUACCUAUAAGACUGGGAUAACUUCGGGAAACCGGAGCUAAUACCGGAUAAUAUUUUGAACCGCAUGGUUCAAAAGUGAAAGACGGUCUUGCUGUCACUUAUAGAUGGAUCCGCGCUGCAUUAGCUAGUUGGUAAGGUAACGGCUUACCAAGGCAACGAUGCAUAGCCGACCUGAGAGGGUGAUCGGCCACACUGGAACUGAGACACGGUCCAGACUCCUACGGGAGGCAGCAGUAGGGAAUCUUCCGCAAUGGGCGAAAGCCUGACGGAGCAACGCCGCGUGUGUGAUGAAGGCCUUCGGAUCGUAAAACUCUUUUAUUAGGGAAGAACAGAUGUGUAAGUAACUGUGCACAUCUUGACGGUACCUAAUCAGAAAGCCACGGCUAACUACGUG